rnacentral:lncRNA from 1 species
AAUCUGAAAGUUUUUCCUGUCAAAUGACAGCAUUUGAAAAGGCAUUUAUAAAGUAGAAAUUAUCGGGUUAUUUUCUUUCAAGAGGAAUCUUAAGUAUAUGGCUCACAUAGACUUCUUUCUUAGCUCUAGCUAAUUUAGUCCUGGCAUGGUUCACCUUUCCUGGAAAUCGGAGAAAAGAAGUAUUCUGGCUCCUAUCUCUAGCUCUGGACAAUGGCCUUACUGGAGAACGAAACAGCUGAGUUCUUGAGGGUAAUGUAGACUUUCUCUGUGAAAAGCCCCUGGCACAUAGCUCAUGUGGCAUGAAUUUGGUGAGAACAAGACAUAACCUUUCACCAACACUGGCUUGCUUAUGUCUCUGGCAUUAUAGGCUAUCAACAAAGGUCAGGUAUACCACUGAAGGCUGAGGAUAUGACAAUUAUUUAUUGAGAACCUAUUGUGUAACAAGCACCUAUUUAAUUCCUAGUCACCCAAUAAAGUAUUUUAUUGUUUUGUUUUGCCCUUGGGCAUUUGUUAUUAAGGUAAGAAUUUGAAGUUACUUUUAAUGCAAUAGAUAAAAUACCCUGAAGUUUUAGAACUAAAGUCAAGUAGAUGUUGGACAGUCAGGACAAGGUUCCAAAGUGAGGAGAAUAGAAAGAACUCCUUUUGUUACCAUCAAGUACAGUAAUCGAAAUAAUGAGGAAUAUGCAGUCCAUUCCCUGACUCUAUGGGAUGCAACUUCUACAUUUAUGCAAAAGACAGCACAAGCAGCUUCUACUCAAUAUAUGCUACAAGAAUGGGAAAGAAGAUAUUCUUAGUGAGCCUAGCCUUGAGAGAAACAAAAAAAGGAAAAAAUAUCACAAAGGAUUCUAAAGCUGGACUCAAUGCCUGUCCUCAAAGAACAAACACAAUCUAUGAAGUUAGAAGGGGCAGAACCAGCUGCAGGAGCUGCAGAGCAAGGUGCAGCAGAAACGGCCACAGCUUCAUCAGCAGGCACGCCCUGGGCAAUGACAUCUUCAUUUUUUUUCCAUUUAGCUCACUAAUGACCUUGUUAAUCCAGUCCUCAUCCACCUCCAUAUCCACACUAUUUAGGGUCUUCUUGAUAUUUUUUGGAUCGGGGAGAGGAAUUGUUCUGAGGUGGACAACAGAUAAGAGGCUACACAGUGCUUGCGCAUGGUGGAGAGACAGGCCUCAUGGGUGUGACCUCUGUGAUGUCAGGCAAUGAAAAGCCAAUUUUUUAUUAAUAAAUAAAAUUUUAAUGAGAGAAUAUUUAACUCACUAAUAACUUAUGCCAUAUAUGAAAAUUUGUGAGAUGAGGCAGCAUGUAAAGAAAGUAAUUGGACCUUCAAACACAGAGUAAGAAAGAAGUCUGAAAAUUCCUCUCAGAAAAACUAGUUACAAAACAGUGAAAAAUUAGAAUAGUGUCAAAAUUAAUGGAAUAGAGAAAAUAUGGUAAACAAAAAACCCAAAUAUGGCUUUUUGAAAACACAAAAUUUAGAGACUUCUAAAGAAGCAGUAAUAAAUGAAAACGAACCCUAGUAAUAUCAAGGGAUAUUUGUUACAGUAUAUGAAGCAAAACUUGGUUUAAAAAAAAAAAAAACGAACAAAUCAACAAAGACCUGCAGUUUUACUUGGAUCCUUUAAAAGCCCUUUUCCAGCAAUAUCAAUUAAGGGAAAAUCAGCAAAGACUGUGAAAUCAAUAAUAGCAUCAGCCAACAUGAUUUAAUAGAAAGAGAUAAACUUUGGACACAAACUUCUCAGGACAAUUCCAAUGUGGCUACCUGAGACCAUUCACCCUCUUGCACCACUCUAGCCAGAACUUCAGACAAGUUUUACCUCUUACUCAGAAAUGGGCUACAAAUGUUGCAGCUAGUCCUCUCAAGACUUAACCAUUGUUUUAGUUUUACAGGGUCCCAUAGAGAUACCAUCAUCCCCAGAUAGCAGGAAAUUCUAAGAACAUGAUCCCCCUUCCCAAUAGCUGGAGUGAAUGGUUUGGUUUUUGUUUUUUUCUCAGGGUUAUGGGUAAUUGUAAUUUUUAGAGAGUUGAUAAUAAGUUGUUAUGGGUCUGGUAGUGGAACAGUAGAGAGUAGACUCAGAGACCUCAUUUAGAGUAGAAAAAGGGGGAUAGAUAUGAAAAGAUAAUAAUGUAGUUUAUAAUAUCUAUUUGUAAACAAAAAAGCUACUAUCAGUUUUAAAUAAUUUACAUUGGUAUGGAAUCUUGUAUAUUGAUACAAAUUCAAAGUUAUUUUUGUUAUACUGUAUAUAUGUUUCUAUUCCUAUUUAAGCUACUUUAGCAUAUUGAUACAAAUUCAGAAUUGUUUUUGUUAUAUUGUAUAUAUAUUCCUACUUCUGUUUAAGAUAUUUUUGUAUAUUGAUAUUUUGGUAUACUGAUACAAAUGUAAAAUUAUUUUGGUUAUACUGUAUAUAUGUUUCUACUGUUUGGGAUAUUUCAUAUAUUGAUGCAAAUUAAGGUUAUUUUUGCCAUAUUGCAUUAUACAUUUGUACUUCUGGUUAAGAUACUUUUGUAUAUCAGCACAAUUUUGAGGUCAUUGUCCUUAUACUACUGUACAUAUGUUUCUAUCUUUGCUUGUUUAUUUUUAUAAUGUAAAACUUUAAGAAUUACAGGUUAAUAGCCACUCAUUUUUGUCAAACAUAUAGUCAUGUUAGUUAGGUUUUCUUGGUGUGCAAAGAUGUAUUCCAAAUAGGUUAUUACCUUUCUUCUUCUGGACAAUACUUGAUAAUUGUUCUUAUUGUACAUAGUUUUUAUUAUGAUAGAAUUAAACCUUCCUUUUUAUUUUGUACUAAAAAGAAAAAAUGUUGUGGGAAUUUGAUCUGACAGCCAAUUGUAUUGGGGUGGGUUGGCCCAAUAGGAUUGGUCUUCCCUGGGUGUACAUGACCCAAAUACCCGAAUAAAAGGCUAGGGUGGAGGGAAGGAAAAUCUGUUGGGUGUAUAUGAGCUGGCGGUGUUGGAAGAAAUGACAAUGGUAUGUUGGCUGGGUCAGCAGUGGCAGCAGCUUCGUUCUGUGUUGUGAAUGUAUUUUAUUGAUUGGCAUUUGUUAAUAAAUCUGACUUGAUCAGAGAGUUCACUCCCUCUUUACUGGAACACAGAUUAUUUUCAAAUGUCUCCAAAUAAUUGCCAAACAAAUGUUUAAAUUUCAUUUCUGUUGUCAUGGUAAAAAAAAAAAAUAACCGUACAAAAAACGUAAUUAAGAAAGAAAGGGUAUAUUUGAGUUCAAGAGGAAUCAAGGUAGUAGGAACUUGAAAGAGCUAGUCAUAGCAGAAAGAAGAGAGUACUAUAAACAAGAGGAGAACUAAGUGAAAUUUAUACAACAAACAGGGGAUGGGAAGACAGCUCAGUGGGUAAGAGAACGUGCUAUGCAAGCAUGAGAACUUGAAUUCAAAUCUCCAGCAUCCAUGUAAAAAGCCAGGUUUAGCUAUGGCAGCCUCUAAUGCCGGAUUUGUAAGGAACAGAGACAAGAGGACCACUGAUGCUUGCUGGUUGCAAUACCAAUUAAUAUACCAACAUGGAUGUGAGAAAGCACACAGCGCCCUACCCCUGGAAAAGCUACAAGCAAUUCAUGGCUGCUAGGAGAGAGUCUUCUCCAGGGACAAGGUCAGUCAAGCCUAAAAGAUUUUCCCCUUUAGAAUCCUCUGGCAGCGAUUCUUCUGUGUGAUCAGGCUUCUCUCUGUCAGAGAAAAUUUUUUGCUCAAGGGCUAAGGCUUUUUCUUGUGCCUGCCAUCACUUCCUCUGGGCAAUUUUGACUGCUUCUAUUUUACCCCUACAGUUGAAAACCUCAAAGCAAACUCUCAAAACAUGAUUUCGGGGUGCUAGGGUCCCAUUGUCCACUUUUGUAUCUUUCUUCUAAUGUCUACAACAGAUUAAAUGGGGAAGUAAUCACCUAGCAAAAUUUGACCCUUGGAAGUGUUUAAAUUGCCAACUUAAUCUCACAAUGCUGUUUUUAGUGUUUCAUUUUCCAAAACUGCUUGUUGUGAUAUGCCUUACCCUCCUGGUUUUACCAUUUUCUUUUUCCAUUUUGGAAUAAUUGUAUACUUUUAGUGCAAAAUUAUUUUACCAUACAAAAUACUUUCUCAUCUAAAAUGAUUUUUUCCCUUUAUCCUUUUCUUCAUGACCUUCCAAGUAUACCUACAAUAUUCCAUACCUGCAAUAUUAUAUUGUUU